UACGUAGGGUGCGAGCGUUGUCCGGAAUUAUUGGGCGUAAAGAGCUCGUAGGCGGUGUGUCGCGUCGGCCGUGAAAACCUGGGGCUCAACUCUGGGCGUGCGGUCGAUACGGGCAUCACUUGAGUUCGGCAGGGGAGACUGGAAUUCCUGGUGUAGCGGUGAAAUGCGCAGAUAUCAGGAGGAACACCGGUGGCGAAGGCGGGGUCUCUGGGGCCGAUACUGACGCUGAGGAGCGAAAGCAUGGGUAGCGAACAGG
rnacentral:rRNA from 1 species